rnacentral:rRNA from 1 species
CCUACGGGUGGCAGCAGUGAGGAAUAUUGGUCAAUGGACGAGAGUCUGAACCAGCCAAGUAGCGUGAAGGAUGACUGCCCUAUGGGUUGUAAACUUCUUUUAUAUGGGAAUAAAAUGUUCCACGUGUGGGAUUUUGUAUGUACCAUAUGAAUAAGGAUCGGUCAACUCCGUGCCAGCAGCCGCGGUAAUACGGAGGUUCUGAGCGUUAUCCGGAUUUAUUGGGUGUAAAGGGAGCGUAGGUGGAUUGUUAAGUCAGUUGUGAAAGUUUGCGGCUCAACCCUAAAAUUGCAGUUGAAACUGGCAGUCUUGAGUACAGUAGAGGUGGGCGGAAUUCGUGGUGUAGCGGUGAAAUGCUGAGAUAUUAGGAGGAACACCAGUGGCGAAGGCGGCCUACUGGACGGUGACUGACGCUGAGGCUCGAAAGCGUGGGGAGCAAACAGGAUUAGAUACCCUAGUAGUC